rnacentral:tRNA from 1 species
CUCCUCGUCGUAGUGGCUCUACGCAUCGGUCUACGAAGCCGGUUGUCCAGGUUCGAUUCCUGGCGAGGAGACCA